rnacentral:lncRNA from 1 species
GAUUCACAAGAAGCCCCUCAACUUUUCAAUAUUUAUAAAAAAGCACCGUUCUUCAUAAGCAGCAAGCAAUUACAAGAAAAACAUGAUCGGCGAUCACGGGAUACCGGCGAUUCCGGGAUACCAUAACCUCUCAUACUUCAACGAGAGGCUCCCUCACCCUCACUCCAACCGUGAUCGGCGAUACCACGCUUUCUCCCACCGACCACUAGGCUUUG